GCCCCUGUGGUGUAGACCGGUCAAUCAUGCGAGCCUCUCGAGCUCGCGACCCGGGUUCAAAUCCCGGCGGGGGCACCA
rnacentral:tRNA from 1 species